GCACCUGGCCUGGAAGCACAUAUAUUAAAACUGGAAAAAUACAGAGAAGAUUAGCAGAAGGAUGACAUGCAGAUUUGUGAAGCAUUCCAUAUAAAA
ensembl:snRNA U6 U6 spliceosomal RNA